rnacentral:rRNA from 1 species
ACCGGCAGCUCAAGUGGUGGCCAUUUUUAUUGGGCCUAAAGCGUUCGUAGCCGGUUUGAUAAGUCUCUGGUGAAAUCCCGCAGCUUAACUGUGGGACUUGCUGGAGAUACUAUUAGACUUGAGGUCGGGAGAGGUUAGGGGUACUCCCAGGGGGCGGCGAAAAGCAAAUAGCCUGGGGGGGAGUAACGGUGGAGAGUGUGCCGAACUGGAAAAAACCCCGGGGUUGGUAUGCAGACUCAGGUGCGUGGCCCG